CGCGGGGAGGCGCGGCCUCUUUGGGCGCGGGUGGCCGUGAGGCACGUGGAUUUGCGCGUUCCUGCGGGCAGUCCGAAGGCACAAAAGAAGCUGUCGGUGCUGCUCUGACGGUCCCACGUGGAAGGGUUUGUGUGGAGGAAGCUCAGAAGCCACGCUGCUCCCAGAGGAGCGAUGGUUUCAGGAUCCGGCCUUAGCAGAUGGAAGUAGCAAAAGGCGCUGCGUGAGGUAUAAUGAGAAUUUCACAGUCGGUUGGUGGUUAAGCCACGCUCACUGCUAGUUCAAAAUCGUAUGGUUUUCUUUGGCCUAUUAAACUUACUUAAACGUGA